AACCUCCGCAAUGUGAGAAAUCGCGACGGGGGGAUCCCAAGUGCCAUUCUUAACGGGAUGGCUUUUCAUUAGUGUAAAGAGCUUUUGGAAUAAGGGCUGGGCAAGACCGGUGCCAGCCGCCGCGGUAACACCGGCAGCUCUAGUGGUAGCAGUUUUUAUUGGGCCUAAAGCGUCCGUAGCCGGUUUAAUAAGUCUCUGGUGAAAUCCUGUAGCUUAACUGUGGGAAUUGCUGGAGAUACUAUUAGACUUGAGACCGGGAGAGGUUAGAGGUACUCCCAGGGUAGAGGUGAAAUUCUGUAAUCCUGGGAGGACCGCCUGUUGCGAAGGCGUCUAACUGGAACGGUUCUGACGGUGAGGGACGAAAGUUAGGGGCGCGAACCGGAUUAGAUACCCGGGUAGUCCUAACUGUAAACGAUGCGGACUUGGUGUUGGGGUGGCUUUGAGCUGCUCCAGUGCCGAAGGGAGCUGUUAAGUCCGCCGCCUGGGAAGUACGGUCGCAAGACUGAAACUUAAAAGAAUU
rnacentral:rRNA from 1 species